UACGUAGGGUGCAAGCGUUGUCCGGAAUUAUUGGGCGUAAAGAGCUCGUAGGCGGCUUGUCGCGUCGGCUGUGAAAACCUGGGGCUCAACCCCGGGCCUGCAGCCGAUACUGGCAAGCUAGAAUUCGGUAGGGGAGACUGGAAUUCCUGGUGUAGCGGUGAAAUGCGCAGAUAUCAGGAGGAACACCGGUGGCGAAGGCGGGUCUCUGGGCCGAAAUUGACGCUGAGGAGCGAAAGCGUGGGGAGCGAACAGG
rnacentral:rRNA from 1 species